CGGUCCAGACUCCUACGGGAGGCAGCAGUAGGGAAUCUUCCGCUAAUGGGCGAAAGCCUGACGGAGCAACGCCGCGUGAGUGAUGAAGGUCUUCGGAUCGUAAAACUCUGUUAUUAGGGAAGAACAAAUGUGUAAGUAACUAUGCACGUCUUAGACGGUACCUAAUCAGAAAGCCACGGCUAACUACGUGCCAGCAGCCGCGGUAA
rnacentral:rRNA from 1 species